AGUGAACGCUGGCGGUAGGCCUAACACAUGCAAGUCGAACGGCAGCACAGUAAGAGCUUGCUCUUACGGGUGGCGAGUGGCGGACGGGUGAGGAAUACAUCGGAAUCUACUUUUUCGUGGGGGAUAACGUAGGGAAACUUACGCUAAUACCGCAUACGACCUACGGGUGAAAGCAGGGGAUCUUCGGACCUUGCGCGAUUGAAUGAGCCGAUGUCGGAUUAGCUAGUUGGCGGGGUAAGGGCCCACCAAGGCGACAAUCCGUAGCUGGUCUGAGAGGAUGAUCAGCCACAGUGGAACUGAGACACGGUCCAGACUCCUAAGGGAGGCAGCAGCGGGGAAUAUUGGACAAUGGGCGCAAGCCUGAUCCAGCCAUACCGCGUGGGUGAAGAAGGCCUUCGGGUUGUAAAGCCCUUUUGUUGGGAAAGAAAAGCAGCAGGUUAAUACCCCGCUGUUCUGACGGUACCCAAAGAAUAAGCACCGGCUAACUUCGUG
rnacentral:rRNA from 1 species